UACGUAGGGUGCAAGCGUUAAUCGGAAUUACUGGGCGUAAAGCGUGCGCAGGCGGUUUUGUAAGUUUGUCGUGAAAGCCCCCGGGCCCAACCUGGGAAUUGCGAUGAAGACUGCAAGGCUUGAAUCUGGCAGAGGGGGGUAGAAUUCCACGUGUAGCAGUGAAAUGCGUAGAGAUGUGGAGGAACACCGAUGGCGAAGGCAGCCCCCUGGGUCAAGAUUGACGCUCAUGUACGAAAGCGUGGGGAGCAAACAGG
rnacentral:rRNA from 1 species